GCUAAACACACUACAUUCUAUUUCAGCUUAACUUUAUUAAUUUCUUCAUAAAAAUGCGGUUCAUUUUCAAGUUAUUGGUUAUAUUUGCACUUAUACAGUGCAUCGUCUACGUAAAAGCUGUAUUCUCUAUAAAAGAUGAGAAUAAAAACACUGAUCAACAAGAUAAAUCUGGUACACCUAGCUCCGAUAUAGCCGAACAUUCAAGAGAUUCGCCAGUUAUUCGCUUGGGUUGAAUUUCGGUCUAAAGUGCAUAGCGGAUGAGAAAUAUUAAAUAUUUUAGAAUUCGCAUAUGAACCAAUUAACUUACUUUUAA